rnacentral:rRNA from 1 species
GACGAACGCUGGCGGCGUGCCUAACACAUGCAAGUCGGACGGAUCAGGUAUGACAGCUUGCUGUAGUGCCUGGUUAGUGGCGGACGGGUGAGUAACGCGUGAGGACCUACCCUGGAGAGGGGGAUAACGGCUGGAAACGGCUGCUAAUACCCCGUAAGCCUGAGGGUGAAAGGGAGCGAUCUGCUCCGGGGCGGCCUUGCGUCCUAUCAGCUAGUUGGUGGGGUAAUGGCCUACCAAGGCGAAGACGGGUAGCCGGCCUGAGAGGGCGACCGGCCACACUGGAACUGAGACACGGUCCAGACUCCUACGGGAGGCAGCAGUGGGGAAUAUUGGGCAAUGGGGGCAACCCUGACCCAGCGACGCCGCGUGAGGGACGAAGUCCUUCGGGAUGUAAACCUCUGUUGUGGGGAAGAAGUCAGUGACGGUACCUCACGAGGAAGCCCGGCAAACUACGUG